UGGGGAAUCUUGCGCAAUGGGCGAAAGCCUGACGCAGCCAUGCCGCGUGAAUGAUGAAGGUCUUAGGAUUGUAAAAUUCUUUCACCGGGGACGAUAAUGACGGUACCCGGAGAAGAAGCCCCGGCUAACUUCGUGCCAGCAGCCGCGGUAAUACGAAGGGGGCUAGCGUUGCUCGGAAUUACUGGGCGUAAAGGGCGCGUAGGCGGACAUUUAAGUCAGGGGUGAAAUCCCGGGGCUCAACCUCGGAACUGCCUUUGAUACUGGAUGUCUUGAGUGUGAGAGAGGUGUGUGGAACUCCGAGUGUAGAGGUGAAAUUCGUAGAUAUCCGGAAGAACACCAGUGGCGAAGGCGACACACUGGCUCAUUACUGACGCUGAGGCGCGAAAGCGUGGGGAGCAAACAGGAUUAGAUACCCUGGUAGUCCACGCCGUAAACGAUGAUUGCUAGUUGUCGGGCUGCAUGCAGCUCGGUGACGCAGCUAACGCAUUAAGCAAUCCGCCUGGGGAGUACGGUCGCAAGAUUAAAACUAAAGGAAUUGACGGGGGUCAUAGCUGUUUCCUG
rnacentral:rRNA from 1 species